UUGAAUGAACUUAGAGUCGGUUGUCGCGGGCUGUUCUUUGCAGCAUGUGCACGCCUUCUCUUUUCAUCCACACACACCCCUGUGCACUUGUGAGACUGGAGACCGUAAAAAGUCUUCAGUCUGCUAAAUUCAUAUACAAACUCAUUUAAUUGAACUGAAUGUACUUGAUGUAACGCAUCAUUAAAC
rnacentral:misc_RNA from 1 species